CACAGAUGAGUUCCAAUAGACCCAAAUACCACCACUCGGACUAAUAGCUUCAAAUCUAAAUCAGUUCUCAAACCCCAUAUUAAUACAAACAACAUUAGCACACGAACCACUAGUUUUUGUUUUCACUAUAAUUAAAAUGGCAGGCCUAUAACCGCAACAUAAAUCCUUAAGAAUACGCUGGAUUCUUUUACCCGUAAUGCCAUAUAUAUUCCAGACUAAGAUUGAUAUAAACAAAAGACAUAAAGAGGGAAGGGAAGGGUGGAGCAUGAAUCCUGAAACAACCUCUAAUUACAGUAGUGUGUACCUCAUGAGCCUCACAGGGGGGCUCCUGGUUGGUGUCAUAGUGCAGUAUUCCCUUUUCAACAAUAAGGGACCAUAAUAUUAGAGAUAUCUUGCAAAAUAGUAGACUCCUGAAAAUGUAAUUCAGAAUCUCCCGGAUCAUUCGUCAUUCCAAUAUUCCAUACCUCCUUACAAUCCACAGUUCCAAUCCCUGCCUUACCAACAAUCACCGUAUGUUUGUGUAAAGCAACUGUGCCUCCAUGGGCCUUCACCAGUGAAUCAGAGCCAUUAGCUUGCUAUUCAAGUUAACGAAAACAGGUCCCCAGCCAUACUGACUUUUGGAUUGAGGGGAGCUCCUAGAAGUGCCCGGUAGAGUAUGCUGUGAAGUCCCCAAGGAAGCAUUCUCCAUUAGAGUUCCCAUAGACUUACCACUGACCCGAGUUGAGUUUGAUGAGUUGCAGGCAACCUUAGCAACAACAUUGGAAUUCAUAAGCCCCUGGUUAUCCAAAACAGUGAACCGAGACCCAACAGGUGUCUGUGAGGCACUUGAAGAUGCAAGAGAAAGCCUGAAAUUCCUUUUGAUACCAAACCACCGGAUUUAGCUCCAACCAGAUUGUUCGAUUGAUGCAGAAAAGAGCGUCGAAGUCGUUGUACCAUCAUCCACGGUCCGAAUUUAUCAACCAUUUCUGCCAACACAUAAGGGCCCGUCACAACGCCAUCGAUAGACUGGUCAGCUCGUAUAACAGCAGGAACAGGGUUUGUCUGUCUUCCAUAACCAUCUGGUCUUCGUCAGUGGCCAUAUGCCUACCAUGAGAGUCUAUACAUGCGGCGACCAUAACAACCACAUGAGAAUCAGAUAAGAUAAAUGCCUUCAUACUCAAUUCGGCGAACCCGACGACGUAGACGGAACUUUAAUAACAGCUGCAUGCUGAGAGAGGUCGACCUCUACACAGAUGCGAGCAUACUUACUCCGUGCAGCCUACAGAGUUGCUUCGUGAAGCUUGAUUAGGCGCCCAAUCCGACUACCCACCCUCAAGAGAAAAUUCUUGUCGUAAUAUUCAAUAGGCGAAUUGAGGAUACGAACCCAAAUCAGUGAUGUAUCAAUGGCAGCAAUCUCU
rnacentral:lncRNA from 1 species